AACGAACGCUGGCGGCAUGCCUAACACAUGCAAGUCGAACGAGACCUUCGGGUCUAGUGGCGCACGGGUGCGUAACGCGUGGGAACCUGCCCUUAGGUUCGGAAUAACUCCCCGAAAGGGGUGCUAAUACCGGAUAAUGUCUUCGGACCAAAGAUUUAUCGCCUUUGGAUGGGCCCGCGUUGGAUUAGCUAGUUGGUAGGGUAAAAGCCUACCAAGGCGACGAUCCAUAGCUGGUCUGAGAGGAUGAUCAGCCACACUGGGACUGAGACACGGCCCAGACUCCUACGGGAGGCAGCAGUGGGGAAUAUUGGACAAUGGGCGAAAGCCUGAUCCAGCAAUGCCGCGUGAGUGAUGAAGGCCUUAGGGUUGUAAAGCUCUUUUACCCGGGAUGAUAAUGACAGUACCGGGAGAAUAAGCUCCAGCUAACUCCGU
rnacentral:rRNA from 1 species